rnacentral:rRNA from 1 species
UAAAUUGCUGUGGUAUUUUGACUAUACAAAGGUAUUGAAAUAAGAUUUUAAUUGAAUGCUAAGAGAAUGGAAUUUCAGAAAAAAACUUUUUUCAAGUUAAAAAUUGAAAUUUUUUUAAUUUGUGCAGAAACAAUUAUUAAUAUUAAGGACAAGAAGACCCUAUGAAUUUAUAAAUUUUAUUUAAUAUGUAACUACUAUUGAAAAAAUUUUAGCUGGGGCGGCGGAAAAAUAUUUAAAACUUUUUUAAAAUAAAAUGACCCAUUAUUAAUGAUUAUAUGUUAAAUACUCUAGGGAUAACAGCGUUAUAUUUUUUGAUAGAUCAUAUUGACAAAAAAGUUUGCGACCUCGAUGUUGGAUUAGGAUACUUUUUUAAUGCAGAUAUUAAAAAAAGAAGUUUGUUCAAC